AACGAUAUAUUUUAAGAUAAAGAUUGCAUGCUCUGCAAGUAUGAGGUGAGUGUGAAGGCUCUAUCGUUGUG
rnacentral:tRNA from 1 species